AUGGAGAGGCGAAGUGGCUGGCAAGUGUGCAAGCCCAGAUCAAACAGGGCCAUGAGGGCCACAGAAAGGAGUGAAGGUGUCAUUCUGAGUGCAGUGGGAGCCACUGGAGGUGUUGAAGCCAGAAUAGGAGAGCUGGAAUCAAUUUACGAAGGUGACUUUGGAAAACGAAUAAGAAGAACCAAGCAUCACAGUACAAAGUCAGGGUGGGGCCUAGCACAGCAUUCCAGGACAAGGUGCAUGCAAGCUUCCUGGGAACUGAAAGCCCCUAUCCAUCAGAGGGCCCUGAGGAGCCACUUCUCAUGCUUGCGAGGCCACCUGGCAUGAACAGUGCCAGAACGGUCCCCUGGCCACCCAUGCAGGGAGCCGCCUCUCCCAGCAGGUCUCCAGAGUCCCUGUUGCCUUCCUUCCCUGAGCAUUGUCACCUGCUCUGUAAUCAUACAAUUAUGAUGCCAUUAAAAUGUCACAUUUGAAGAAAUCCGUAUAAACAAAGCCUUAACAACCGCUUGAAAAUUGUAGUCUUUACCACUAAUGACCUACUUUCUCUAUGUGCAGGGCCCUCCUGCCACCACCACCUCUGCUUUGCUGCCUCUUUCUCCAGCCUUGAUUUCAGGGACAGGAGAGAGGUUGCAGUGGCCUUUUCCCGCCUGGAAAGUCUCAGUGUUUCCUGUGCUGGGAGAGGCUCUGCGAUGGGACCAAGGCGGCCAGGCCAGCAGGAGCCCAGCACCUGGUGGUUCAGUGAAGGAGACAAGAGGGCACCGAGCAAAUGUGAGGCUCUGAAAGGAGAGACCUCAGGGAGGAGCUGGCCUAGGAAAUUGAAGUGAGCCAAAGGUGCGAGAAAUCUGAGGGUUGAUUUCACCCCCUUGGCUUUGACUUCAUCCUCUUGGGAAGAAGAAACUGGAGACACAGCAGAGACAUAGCGGCAACUCUGGCAGCACAGUGUUGUCAAGGGAAAAGCCCUGUUGAGAGGUCUGGCCAGAGCUUUACCUUCCUACUGCUGAGCGGAGGGCAAGGACAGAGGUGAGCAGGCAGACAAGGGGGU
rnacentral:lncRNA from 1 species